CCUACGGGUGGCAGCAGUGAGGAAUAUUGGUCAAUGGACGCAAGUCUGAACCAGCCAUGCCGCGUGCAGGAAGACGGCUCUAUGAGUUGUAAACUGCUUUUGUACGAGGGUAAACGCAGAUACGCGUAUCUGUCUGAAAGUAUCGUACGAAUAAGGAUCGGCUAACUCCGUGCCAGCAGCCGCGGUAAUACGGAGGAUUCAAGCGUUAUCCGGAUUUAUUGGGUUUAAAGGGUGCGUAGGCGGUCGGAUAAGUUAGAGGUGAAAUCCCGAGGCUCAACUUCGGAAUUGACUCUGAUACUGUUCGGCGAGAGAGUAGUUGCGGUAGGCGGAAUGUAUGGUGUAGCGGUGAAAGCCUUAGAGAUCAUACAGAACACCGAUUGGGAGGGCAGCUUAACAAGCUACUUCUGACGUUGAGGCACGAAAGCGUGGGGAGCAAACAGGAUUAGAUACCCCAGGAUUC
rnacentral:rRNA from 1 species